AGUGAACGCUGGCGGUAGGCCUAACACAUGCAAGUCGAACGGCAGCACAGUAAGAGCUUGCUCUUACGGGUGGCGAGUGGCGGACGGGUGAGGAAUACAUCGGAAUCUACUUUUUCGUGGGGGAUAACGUAGGGAAACUUACGCUAAUACCGCAUACGACCUACGGGUGAAAGCAGAGGAUCUUCGGACCUUGCGCGAUUGAAUGAGCCGAUGUCGGAUUAGCUAGUUGGCGGGGUAAAGGCCCACCAAGGCGACGAUCCGUAGCUGGUCUGAGAGGAUGAUCAGCCACACUGGAACUGAGACACGGUCCAGACUCCUACGGGAGGCAGCAGUGGGGAAUAUUGGACAAUGGGCGCAAGCCUGAUCCAGCCAUACCGCGUGGGUGAAGAAGGCCUUCGGGUUGUAAAGCCCUUUUGUUGGGAAAGAAAAGCAGCAGGUUAAUACCCCGCUGUUCUGACGGUACCCAAAGAAUAGGCACCGGCUAACUUCGUG
rnacentral:rRNA from 1 species